UACGUAGGUGGCAAGCGUUGUUCGGAAUUACUGGGCGUAAAGGGCGCGUAGGCGGCCUGUUAAGUCGGACGUGAAAUCCCCGGGCUCAACCCGGGAACUGCGUCCGAUACUGGCAGGCUUGAAUCCGGGAGAGGGAUGCGGAAUUCCAGGUGUAGCGGUGAAAUGCGUAGAUAUCUGGAGGAACACCGGUGGCGAAGGCGGCACCCUGGACCGGCAUUGACGCUGAGGCGCGAAAGCCAGGGGAGCAAACGGG
rnacentral:rRNA from 1 species